CUUUAACUUGAUGGUGAGAAGCAAUACAUAAUACGGUACAUAUACUGGAUGAUUGUUCAAAUUCGGUAUAAAUUGAAACGACACACCGACCCGAGGCAACAGUUUCAUUCGUAGGAGCGUAAAGUUUAAUAAAAACCGACAAGAAAAUUUAUCCAGUUUUCCAACCAUGCGAUCCGUCAAGAUUACCCUGAUCCUGAUAGUGCUGACAGCUGUUAUGGCCCCAGUGCUGUGUCAAGCCGAAGGAGAGGCAUGCACCCUUUUCGGAUUACCAGCUGCAUUAUUUGAAUGCAAAUCAGAAUGCGACAUGCUGGAGCCAGCCCCUAUUGGUAGGUGUGAUCGUGGGUUGACGUGCUGUUUCAUAGGUUUUUAACAAGGCCGAGUAUCUUGAAAUCGACUGCUUAAUUGACUAAAAAAAUAAAAUGAUACAUUAAAUAAAAAAAUUUUAAAGUAUGAUGAGAUAAUAAAAUCGAGUCAAAAUUUAUGCGUACUCGCAGAAUUGAUAAUACAUAUUUGCGUAAUGUUCGUUCAAAAAGAAAUAAAACUGCGAAAAAUUUUCAAAAUAAAAAAUUUUAUUUAUGGUGCCUUACCAACAAA